UACGUAGGUUGCGAGCGUUAUUCGGAUUUACUGGGCGUAAAGAGCACCGAGGUGGCUUCUUAAGUUGGAUGUGAAAUCUCCUGGCUUAACCGGGAGGCGCCAUUCAAAACUGGGGAGCUUGAGGUCAGCAGGGGAAGGUGGAAUUCCCGGUGUAGCGGUGAAAUGCGCAGAUAUCGGGAGGAACACCAAUGGCGAAGGCAGCUCGCUGGGACGGUACUGACGCUGAGGCGCGAAAGCGUGGGGAGCAAACAGG
rnacentral:rRNA from 1 species